GCUGAUCAUCCAUAAGUGGAGCCAGUUUAAGAAAAACAAAGAUGGCGGAGGGCGAACUGAAGAGGAAAGAGAAACUGUCCAAACAUAGUCUGUUCGUUGACUCGGAGUGACAAGUGAAGUCGGCCGCCCUGAACAAAUCUCUGUUCAUCCUACUUGCCUCCCGUCGUCCCGCAGACCAAGAUGGCGGCUGAUAUGCUGGUAGACUCAGCAGCUUCUCUGAGGACUCCU